rnacentral:rRNA from 1 species
UGGGGAAUAUUGCGCAAUGGGCGCAAGCCUGAUGCAGCCAUGCCGCGUGUGUGAAGAAGGCCUUCGGGUUGUAAAGCACUUUCAGCGAGGAGGAAGGGUAGUGUGUUAAUAGCACAUUGCAUUGACGUUACUCGCAGAAGAAGCACCGGCUAACUCCGUGCCAGCAGCCGCGGUAAUACGGAGGGUGCAAGCGUUAAUCGGAAUUACUGGGCGUAAAGCGCACGCAGGCGGUUUGUUAAGUCAGAUGUGAAAUCCCCGCGCUUAACGUGGGAACUGCAUUUGAAACUGGCAAGCUAGAGUCUUGUAGAGGGGGGUAGAAUUCCAGGUGUAGCGGUGAAAUGCGUAGAGAUCUGGAGGAAUACCGGUGGCGAAGGCGGCCCCCUGGACAAAGACUGACGCUCAGGUGCGAAAGCGUGGGGAGCAAACA